rnacentral:lncRNA from 1 species
UGUGCACCCUUUCUUAGAUGCCAGGUUAAUAUUAAUCUAUACCAAUUAUUCAAAAUAAGUUAUACCAACUCUACAGCAUUUUGAUAAUUCACUCAACUCAAUGCUAUACCUAACAAACUUUGCCAUAACAGUGUUUUAUAGUGAGCACCAUGGAACAGCUGUAUGUAUCAACAGUUAAGACAAAAUUAAUUUUAUACAUUCAUCAAUCAUAGGGCACACCUGUGAUGAAUCCAUAGUACAACUAUUUAUUUGAUAAGCACAAUGAAAGCUAUUGUAUUUUAAUCACUAAUGCUCCCUGGGAUAAGCUGGUGGCUGAAUUAAGAAUCUUUUUAUUAUCACUGUUCAUGAACUGAACUUUAUGUCAAUAAAUCUUAAGCAUAUCUUCAUUUACAGGGAAGGUCUGCCCCCUAUUUUACUAUUGGAUGGAAUAACCCCUAACUGAAGUCUUCAGACUGCAUGGGAAAGUCUCACUGUGACUCAGUGGCCACUGUUGCCAGAGGAAUAAACUCCAUGAGCCCCUGUUUCUGAUUAUUGACUUAUUGCCAUGAAACUCAGGUUUGGAAGUAUGAAAAUUGGACUUGGGAUCAUCAUUGAGAAUAGGAUUUUUUUCCUUGGUGUUGACUUUGGAUAA